UAGGAAUGUUGUCUAAUGGUUUUAAGCAA
rnacentral:piRNA from 1 species